rnacentral:rRNA from 1 species
CAAAGGAGCAAUCCGCUGAAAGAUGGGCUCGCGUCCGAUUAGGUAGUUGGCGGGGUAACGGCCCACCAAGCCGACGAUCGGUAGCCGGACUGAGAGGUUGAACGGCCACAUUGGGACUGAGACACGGCCCAGACUCCUACGGGAGGCAGCAGUGAGGGAUAUUGGUCAAUGGGGGAAACCCUGAACCAGCAACGCCGCGUGAGGGAAGACGGUUUUCGGAUUGUAAACCUCUGUCCUCUGUGAAGAUGAUGACGGUAGCAGAGGAGGAAGCUCCGGCUAACUACGUGCCAGCAGCCGCGGUAAUACGUAGGGAGCAAGCGUUGUCCGGAUUUACUGGGUGUAAAGGGUGCGUAGGCGGCUUUGCAAGUCAGAAGUGAAAUCUAUGGGCUUAACCCAUAAACUGCUUUUGAAACUGCAGGGCUUGAGUGAAGUAGAGGUAGGCGGAAUUCCCGGUGUAGCGGUGAAAUGCGUAGAGAUCGGGAGGAACACCAGUGGCGAAGGCGGCCUACUGGGCUUUAACUGACGCUGAGGCACGAAAGCGUGGGUAGCAAACAGGAUUAGAUACCCUGGUAGUCCACGCUGUAAACGAUGAUUACUAGGUGUGGGUGGACUGA